UACAAACCUCUCUUACCUAGGUGGAUGUUAAAUAGGCAUUUGUUGAAAGAGUGAAUGAGUGAAAAUAAGCAAGAAGAAAAAAGCUGUUGUAUAUGAAGCACGGUUGUCAUUGCCAAAUGCCUUGGUUGUUUUCCUGUUUUCCCCCUCGUUGCCUGUAUGGCUCUUGUCUGGAAUAGCUGGGCUCUCUGAGACAUCUGCGAUGUCACCCUCCCGAGAAGGUGAGGAGUAGCUCAGUUCACGGGGUCGCGGCAAGUUCUUCAGCUGUAGAGUGGUCCCUGCAGGUCGUGGGGCUUGUGGACCUGGUCCAUGUCAGAGUUUAUGGGAUUAAAACCCAUAAACUGUGACCGCCCCCCCCCGCCCCAGCUCAGCAUGCUUUGUGAUUUAUCAAGCUGUUGACUGACACAUCUGGGAAAUGUUUACUCCACUGUGAGUAACUCAGAGACCUGCCACUGACUGCGUCAGAGGGCCUCCCUAAGAACUAGCAUCCCAGAGGUGAGACUUGACCUCUAACUCUGCUCUAUUCUUCACCUUGGGCGAGCAUCUUUAUCAAAGAGAUGAACUCUAACCCCCACAUGCAAAUGAGGAUGAUGCCUACCACCAGCAGGAGGCGGAGCCACAUGCUAAUGGUGAUUCCACUGUACCUGCACCUAGUGAAAGAUGAGGGGAAAGGUACCCAUGGGGCCGCCAUCUUUCCCUUCCCUACUGAAGAAGUACAAACGUUUUCUCCAUUUUAGUUUCAAAACCAAGCAAGGAUCCACACAUGAUCAGCUUGGGUAUUUUCUAGAUCAUUUAAAGCAAAGAAAUAGUAUGCUGUAUUCCCUUCCCCCACCUCCUCCAGUGAAUGCUUAUUGAGCAUUUGGCAUGUAUUAGGCACUGUUUCUAGGUACUGGGAAUACAGCAGUGUACAACAGACCCCACACCCUCCUGGGCUUACAUUCCAUUCCAGGAGGGGAAACAAGGCAAAGUCAAUAAUACACAGUGUGGUAGACAGUGAGAAGGGCUAUGGCAAAAAUGAAAGCAUGGGGGAGGGAAAGAGAGAGUUGGGAGGGGUUGCAAUUAUAAUUAAGAUGAUUGGCAAAGACCUCCUGGAGAAGUUGACUGGAAGAAGCUGAGGAAGCAAGCCAUUCAGAUAUUUGUUAAGAAAAAAAAAAAAGAGUCUUUGGGACAGAAGGGAUAGCCAGUGCAAAUGUUCUGAAGCAGGAGCAGGCCUGGUGUGCUUGAGGAACCAAAGGAAGGCCAGAGAAGCCAAAUCCAACAAUGUGCCGGAGGCCGGGUGGGGAGGGGUGGUGUGGUGGUGGUGAGAGAGAGAUGGGAGAGAGAAGUCCAGAACAGGGGCCAGAUCAUUAGAUCCUGAGGUCAUUAGGACUGGGCUUUCAUCUGAGAAUGAUCAGAAACCACUGGUUAUUGAGGAAACAGUUGAUGUGACUUCUGUUUAACCACAGUUCUCCUGGCAGUGGGUCAAAAAGCUGGUCAGGGCAGUCUGCACAUCUCGGCCGGGAACUAAGGGGGGGUGGUGAUGAGAGCUUGGACAAGGUAAGAGAAGCCAGUGGUGAGAAGUGGUCAGUUCUGAAUCUAUUUUGAAGGUAGAAUCAAAAUGCACUGCCAGUCAGUUGCACGUGGAACGUGAGAGAAGGAAAGGAGACGGCAUCCCCCCAGCAGUUUGGGGGUUUUUCGGCUAAGUGGAAGGAUAAUGUGCCAUCAGCCAGGAUGGGGACGAUGUGGGAGGCAUGGAGGGGAUGCAAAGAGCUCAGUGCAGGGCAUAUUAAACUUGGGAUAGGAUGUCAGGAGAGUAAGAAAAGCGUACCUUCAUUGAGCUCUUCUUGUAUGUCAGGCACGGGGUGAAACAUCUCGCAUAUAUCGUCCAAUGUACUCCUUACGACAGCGCUGUGACCAUCUCUGUUUUAGAGAUGACAAAACUCGCAGUUGUGCCCAUUCGCAGCCAUACAAGACCUCACGCCACUAUAACAACAAAAAGUAGAUCUUUCCCCUUUAAAUUUUCUGUCCUGGCCGCACAACUUCCUGGUUGGCAUUGGCUCAUCAGCCUGUUAAUGAAGAUAAGAGUUUGCUUCUUGCUUCUUGCUCCUUGCUUCUACUGAACAGUGAGAGAUUAUCAGCUUUGUUCUGCUCCUGGAGCCUUGUCGAUGCUCCAUAAACAGUAGCAUGAGGGAGGGAGGAAGCAUGUGGAAGUUGUAGGCACCAGCCAGCCAUGCCUGGACCUGACGGGGCUCCUUGUGAGUGGAGGAGCCCAGGGAUGGGGUACAUCAGCUCACCAGGCGCAUGGUGGGUGCAUGAGAGAGCUAAGCUUGGCAACUCAAGAGAACAGAGCAUUCAAGUUAGCAACCAAGUGACCAGCUGGGCUUUGUAACUACAGGUGUCUCAAAUAGAAAGUAAGAGUCAGCCCCAAGGAGGCGAGCAGCAUGAAGCGAAGUGUGAGCAAUGGGGGCGGAGAGGCUGUUCAAGGCUAAGUCUGUGAGACCAGGUGUGCUUAGGUGUUCCUUUGUAGGUGAGCUCCUCUAGCUGGGGGAGUUUUCAAGAGGCCAAGAGUGUGUGCUGAGAAAAAGAGAAGUAGAAAGGGCUCUGGUGGUGCCCCACUCAAGGAUUGUAUUAGUUAGCUAUGGCCAAGUAACAAAUCACCCCAAACCUCAUGGCUUGAAACAACCAUGAACAUUUAUUAUGUCACCCAGUUCAGGAGCAGCUGAGAGCAUCUCAGAGGCUUCUUUACUCCCAUGCAUGGCACCUGGGCGGGAAGAGCUGGAGCUCCUUGUCCUCAGGCGUCUCUCUAUGUGGUCUCCACUCAUGGUCUUUCCAGCAUGGCGUCUUCCAGAUGGUGACACUUCCUAUAUGGCAGCUCAGGGUUCCAAAGCUGUAUGUCCCCAGAGAGAGAGAGAGAGACAACCAGGAGGAAGCCAUACCCCUUUUCUGGCCUUGCCUUGGGAGACAGGCAGCCAUGUCUCCUGCUGUGGUCUGUCAGGAGCAAGCCCCGCCACCCCCCCACCCCCAGCCUUUCUUCACAGGGAGGGGAAUCAGACUCCACCUUUUGUCGAGAGGUGUAUUUAAGAAUUUUCUGGCAUGUUUCAUAACCGCACAGAAGCCUGUGACAUAGUCUGGCGUCCUCCUAAUUAUGCUUGUGUCAGUAGGAAGUCUCUUGGUCCCUGCAGUGGCUGGGGAUUCACAUCGGAUGUGUGGAGGGAUGAUGCAACACGCGGACAAGGAGCUCGAUUUUCUGAGACGAGAUACUGUGCCUACGUGGGUACCAGGAAGACUCCCAGGCCUAGAAACACUGUUUUCUGUGACUCGGGAUGGCUUAUAUCGAGUAGAUUGUGAGGUAGUGACCCCACAGGGGUACAAGGUGGUGUUAGGGAAUGCAGGAAACAAGAAAGGGGCCUUGACUUUGGCGUGUGUUUGAUUUGUGAAGGCCUGUCCUUGGAAGACAGUGGUGUUCUAAACCUGCUGUCGCCACCAGUUAGUUGUCUCCAUGACUGUUAAAACCAUUGGCAGUCGAGUGCCGGCACCACCAGACCCUCGUUCUACUGACCCCAGUGUGAAUGGCACUUGGGGUUCCGCGUGUGGAAAUUGGACUAUGGAUAAUUGUUUUGUUAGAGGGGAAUUGGGAGGUGUAACGCAUUCAAAUGUAUUUCUGAGCAGUAUUCGGAAGCCUCCUGUAAGGACACUGAUUGCAGGCGAUGUUUGCCUGAUGCCAGCUAAUUAGGAAAAGCCAUUCUGAGCCUAGCUUGAGCGAGCCCAGGGAAAGAUAAACAGAGUCGCUGUAGCUGGUGCAUCGCCGCACCCCAGCGAAGCUCGCAGUCUCCUUACCCUUGAUCGAGUUUAUUCUAUGCACAGACUUCUGCUAAAGGCCGCCGUGUCCCAGCGUGCCGGGCCAUCGCCAAAGCGGAGUAGCACUAAUAGCAGGAGUUCUAUCUGCUGCUGCUGAAUGAGCAAGAGGAACCUGACCGUCACCAGGAGUGAGUCCUUGGACUGUUUGGCAUGGUCCACAAAUGGGUCCAGACAUCACCACUGCGGGAUCGAUGCGGGCUGGUGGGGCUUUUCCACUUUGGGGUCCAGCAUUCCAGACCGACUUGUUCGAGGCCAGGCAGAUGCCUGUGAGGUCAGACCCCAGGCAAGCAUCUCUUAACGUGGGGUCGGUGGGAUGUCAUCAGGUGAAUAGUGCAAGUGUUAGGCAAGAAUAAGUUAAUCAGUACGCAAAUAAAAGAAGAGAGAAAGAGAAAGUGAGCAAAUAUAUUUGGAGAACUGGGCUCAAGAAAGGGAGUUUUUUCACUUCUUUUGAAACAGGAUCUCUCAGAGCCUUUAAUCUGCCACUAUGCACUGUGCCUGCCCGAAAGGAGAUGAGGCGUUUUCCACGCCUCAUUUGACCAGUGGAACCAUCUGCCUGUGACCACUUUGGGUGACUAAGUAUUCUAGCAACGACUUCGAGAUGUGCUAUCCUCCACCAGAGCUGCAUGAAGGGUAGCCCCAGACCGGUGGUCUGCUGUGGGGGAAGUACAGAAAUUGAGAGAAAGCUCUUAGCAUCUUUUCUAGCAAAUGCACAGAGUAUUUUGUAUUUGCCUGUUGAGCCUGAAAACAAUGUCGUGGGGCUUAUAUUUUGUAUGUCUUUUUUUAUUAUUAUUAAUUUUAUGUUCCUAGUAGUUGACUUUUAGGACAAUUUACAGAAAAUAUCCAUCUGCAACACACUGAAAAUGUACAAAAGCUGUCCUUGCCUUCAUAAUCUGAGAGCACGCCCACCAAUAUCUAGAUCUUUCAGGCACCACAUCAAGAGUGCAAAGGUUAUCCCGGAGGGGCUCUGGCCUAUCUCCUAGCAUUCCCUAUCCCUGCCUGUCGUGGUCCAUCCACCCUGUGGCCCAGAACGAGGAGCCACGGCAUGUGCCUCGUCUGAAGAGCAGUUCAGGAAGGGCCAGAAGGAGACAGCCUUGGCCCCAUGCGACCUGCCACGUGUAGCCCCGCUCACGUGCCCGUCGCCCUCCCACCCUGGGAAUAUUGCUGACAGCUCUUUGAAAACUUAAGAAAGUAUGACAGGCUUUCAGGAAUGGUGACUUCCCACCGUGGCACGGAGGCACGGGAGGAUUUAAGCAGCUUGCUUUAAACAAGGCUUGGCUUUUGUUCUCCCUAAUCGUGCUGGUCAUGUGGGGUUUUUUUUCCCCACAGCUUUCUGAAGUGUUCUCCAAUAGAGGACUUCAAGCUUUUAAAAACAGUAAUUUUGGUAACAAUGGUAAUUACUUUAAUUGGAGUUCUUUAAAGGUGGAUCCUUCUUUCCCACCUCCUCUUAAGACGUGAAGCAUGCUGUCACCCAUUGCGUCACUCCAAAUCAGCGUGGUAGUUUUUCCUCUUUAGAGCUAUUAAUGGGCAAGGUAGGAGGGGAGUCAAGAAACUUCCAGAACUCACUAUUUUUUAGUCUAAAAUAAUGACAAGUAAUUUUUCCCUUGUUUCCCGGAAGUGGUAGAUAAUCAGCUUUAUGUGUAGAAAAAUAUGCACGUUGCAUAUGACUGGGCUCCCCAGUUAGGCCUUUCACAGAGGAUUAGGGCUCUUAACGCCCCACUGGGCUCCAUUUCGUCACAAAGCCUUUGGCACAAUCUGUUGGGCUGUCAUGUUUCUGGGGGCCUUGUGUAGUUAUUAAGUGACAUUAGGUAGCCCUGCAUAGGGUCUUUUAUUCCCAAAUAGCCACAUUCUUUAGAGUAGUUGUUUGAGCUGCUUGACACACCCUAGGGAAGUAGGUCAAGUAUCAUAACCUUCCCUUUCUGUAGGAGACGGGUGAAGGGCAGCAGAACCUUCCUGAAGGAACCCUGUGGCUGUGGGGUCAGGGAGCUCACAGUGAUACCUCCAAAGACCAGCCUUCCCUCGGGGCCCAUCUGGACAACCUCCUCUGCUUACUUCCUUUCCUAUGACCAUGGGCCAAUCCUUUGGCUCUCGGACUUCUGUUUCAUGCUAAGUUGUGACGUCCUGAUUGGUGUUGGGUGAAACUGCUGUGAAGUGUGUCCAUCACACAUACCUAGAGCAGAGGAAGCCUGGGGAGCUUUGAACUUGGCCUCUGCAGCUCCUUCUGGAUUGUGACGAGCAAAAGCAAGUAAUUUGCAUUGUCUGGUUGUCAUUCAUUUAUGUUUUCACGUCCUUUCUUUGCCCCUUGUCCACAUUUUAGGAAGAUAAUAAAUAUAAAUGUUUCCUCUAUAAUUUUCUUCCCUCCCUAUACCUAUAUCAAUUUCUAUUUAUCUAUUGUAGGGGAGGAGAAAUUCUCCCCUACCCUCUCUGGGUCUGCAGCUGGGUCUAAAAAUUAAAUUGACAUAAGACAGAUUGGCAGGAGAAAAGCAUACAAGUUUAAUUAAAUAUUUGUGUGUAUGUGGGAGCCAUCUUAAGAUAAUGAAGGCCUGAAGAAGUGACCAGAACAGGAAGUUUUCAUACCUUUUAGAUAAAGAGACAAUAAAUUUUUACUUAUCAGAAAGACAGAGGGGUUUGGGCUAGGAGUAGUAAAUUAUGCAGAAGUAUCUAGGAAGUUACGGGUCUGUUUAACAUUUGCUUGUACAGAUCUUUCGGCCUCCAUUUCCUGGUCUCUGGUAACAAGAAUGUUUCUUUCCUCCUGGGACAGGGCGGGCACUUUCAUAUGGGAGUUUUACCUUCUGCUUUCAGGAAGAAAAAGGAGGGUCCAAGUGUCUUACACCUGCUGUUUGUUUCUUUCCCUUCCUCCCUCCCUCCCUCCCUCCCUCCCUCCCUUCCUUCCUUCCUUCCUUCCUUCCUUCCUUCCUUCCUUCCUUCCUUCCUUCCCUUCUUUUUCUUAUAGGCUCCACGCUCAACAUGGAGCCCAAUACAGGGCUUGAACUCAUGACCCUGAGAUCAAGACCUGAGCUGAGGUCAGGAGUCAAAUGCUUAACUGACUCAGCCACCCAGAUGCCCCACACCAGCUGUUUCUUAAGUCUUUUAACUCAAAAUAAUCAAUAUGCCAAAGUGGCCUCCUUUGAGGUGACAUGCUCUGAACUCCUUCACCAUCCGUCCUUUACCUAUGUCUGUCUGCCUGCCUAUCCACCCACCCAUCCAUCCAUCCAUCCAUCCAUCCAUCCAUCCUCCCACCUGUGUCUCUGCCUGCCUGUCUAUCCAUCAUUCAUCAAGAGCCUGCAUGUCCAGGCCUAACCAGUUUGUGACCACACCUCAACCAUACUUCAUCUUUCCAUGAUUUCCCCAGCUGCUUGUUAGUCUUGGGAAUUGUUAACCUUGGGUCCCCUCUGUGCUCAGGGUCUCAGUCCUCCUGAGAUCUCUCAGAGGUCCAGUUUGGGGGUUGUAGUGUUGCAUACAUGCUCUAUCUUUGGGCCAGGCCACCGUUCCUCUCCCUCAGGCUGUUGUCCUUAGCAGAAUGCCAGCUUUGGCACUUGGCACUGUAUUUUAGGUACAGAACAGGCUUUUCCCUUAAAUUCCUACCCCACAACAGAAACCAGACUGGGUUGACGAGCUAGGGAGGAAGAGAGGGAAGGAAGUACAGCAUAGGUAAGUGAUAAGCCUACUGGACGUGGCAACCCUUAGAGUCUCUAGGUGGGUCUGUCCUGGGGUCCUUUCCUGGGCUCCCCCAUCUGGCUUCCUUCCCUUGGAAGGCUUUGUGUAUGUCCCUGAUUCAGGGUCCAGCCCAGCUGCUGGGAGGCCCAGAAAGAAUGUCCAUCUCUCCUGUCAGAGGCUGGCCUCCCUGAUCCUUGUUCCCCAUCUCAAGACCAGCCUGUUCCCAGGAUGAUUGAUAAUAAAAACAACCCCUAGGUUUGAGGGAUACCUGUUGGCCUCUGGAGUGCUCCCUUGCCUUUUGAUCCCUGACAAAACUGGUCCAUCCAAAGUGGCUGUCUAACACGAGUCCUCACUGGGCCUUAAAACUAAGCUUAGUGCCACAGCAUCCCCAAAGGCUAAGUGACGACAAGCCCCACCCAGGUUCCCUGCCCUGGCCUUUCCUCCUUAACUGGUGGGGGAAUUCUCCAACCCAGUCUGGCCUCCUGCAGACACAUCGCCCCACCGGCUGCAGGUAUAGUCACCGCAAACCGAUUCCUCCACCUCUUGCCGACUAAUUAAUUUUCUUUUUCAGGUCCAGGUCUGAUUCUGCCAUUUACUCUGUGCAGAAUGUGGAGCUUCUCAGCCUCAAGCAUCCACAUACAGGCCAACAGACUCAACAAGCAUGAAGCAGCAAGAAGGCAGAUGGCACCUCCUGCGCUCGGUGUGGACCGUCUCCUUGGCCAGAUGACCCCGUGUGUAAGAGGUCACAGCUCUGAAAUUUUUGGCUAAGCACUGAAGCCACGGCAGGUCCUUAUCUGAUGUGGGAGAGGCGGGGGUCCCUGGCCAGGGGGAGAGCAGGAGCAUUCUCGCCCAUGAACACGUCACGAUGUCGUUUAGAGCCCGAUCAUGCCGCCUACCAUUCCAGAGCUCUGAUACAACCUGGACAUCCGCAUGCUUCCCAGUGCCGCCAGCCCUUUGGAAUAUUCAUAGUCUGUGCCUUCACGUGUGCUUUCCACAGGACCUGCUCUGCGCCAAAUUCAUUGCGAGGCUCUUGAAGCCGUGUAUCCUGUCCUUUUAAAAUCACCUCUCAGCGAAGGGCCGUUCAAGUUUCCAGGUCGUUACCCAGAAGCAGCAAGAUGAUUAAAGAAUGGAAAUGGGUCAAGGGUGAAAUGGAUAAUGAAACCCGGCCAAGAGAAGCAGAAUGAACUUCAGUGCUCCUGAAAGACGGGAUGGGUUUUAGGACUAGAGUCAUCGUGAGGCCUGCAGCCCUACCAAGUGACAUUCCAGCACAUCGUCACUCCGUUCCUGCCUACACUUCACGGUCCUUGGCCGUGUUUUUGGACUACAUCUCAGGGCAAAUCUGCUUUCUGAAGGGCUCUGCUUACUUCAAGUGAUGCCACACGUGCGGGAGGUAGUUGUAGCUGGCUUGACCUGCCUGAAGCGAGGCUGGAAAUGGUAUUGGAGGCACCAAUGGGUGCCGAUGCGGAAGAGGGGACUGGUAAGGGCUCUCCAGCCCGGGCCUUUCCUCCUCCAUGGUAUAACCAUCCUU